UUCAAUCAUAACAUUCCUUGUCCUCAAUAGUAGCACAAUGUCGAGUAUGUAAGAAAAAAAAAAGAAGAAAAACAAAGAAACGAAAAAGUGUAGUAUUUGAAUUAAAUAAUGUAUUAAUUAACGAGAAGGAUGGCAAAGAGUAAGAGGAAGAGAAGGAAGAAUUUGGAAGUAGAAGUUAUUAAGACUUUGAGUGAGGACCCUCAGGCAGAUAACUCUUUGGUGUGGGCUUUAUACUUUAUACCAACUAGCCACACAUUGGUUCAGCUGGAUUAGUGAAAGUUCAAACAAAGUGGUUAAGAGUGAGUUGUUGAUAAAAUAUUCACGCUUAAGCAAUUGUCAAUUAGAAAUGUAAUAGUAGUCUUAACACAGAGAUCGAAACUACUAUGUAACACUACUAUGCUAUUACUGGCCACACCUUCCAAGGAACAGUAGUCAUCGAUAGUGGGAAUCUCCAAAUUAAUUCCCAAGAGUUAGUUAACCGAGACCAGAGAAUUCCUUCUGAGUAAUUCGUCCAAAGGAAAGAGCAAUGUCGUCGUUCAAUUCAAGAGAGACUUCUACGCUACAGUUAGUUCAUCUAUUAAACAAGAGUACAAAAAACAAAAGAUUUUAUCAAACAUUUAUAAAAUUGGUUGAAGAACAUUAGCAACAGGUACAAUUAAACAUUCAAAAUAAACAAAUGUCAUGCAAAGCAAAUAAACAAAAUAAUGUUUUAAUAAGAGAUAUUGACCAACAACAUUUUUCAUGGAAAGACAUUUUGAAAUAUCUAUAUUCACAUAUUUGAUAUUUAUUGAUUUUUUUGUCACCAAUGAUGGUCGGAGGAAAGACAAGAAAGAACUGUCAGGGAAUAUAGAAUUAAAAAAUUUGAAAUUUAACUACCCAAGUUGAUCGAAUCACGUUAUUUUGAAGAAUUUUAAUUUGGAUAUUUUUUCUUUAUGAUGUCGACGAGGAUAGCAUAUCUAUUGAUAAAUGGGUCAUUAGAUUUCUCCAUUCUAGCUAUAUUAGAGGUAUUGUAUUAGCGCAUAUAAAUUAAGAACCUGUACUUUUUGCGACUAGUACAAUGAGGCAUAUUUAUCAUGGAAAACAAGAUGCGGCGGACGAGAAGAUCAUGAAAGGGGCAAAAGAAGCUAAUGCUCAUGAAUUCAUUACAAAAUUUCCAAGUAGUUAUGAAACUUAAAGUGACGAGAGAGACGCAAUAUUAUUUGGUGGAAUAAAGCAACCAUCGAUUUUACUAUUAGUCGAAGCAACGAUAUGUAAAAAGACUAAAUAUAAUUAGUCACAUAUCUUAUUGUGUAUUCUGUAUGAAUUUUAUCUUUUUUAAAUUUAAUGCAUUGGAUUUUGAAAGCAAAAAAAUGGUUCACAGUGCGUUAGAAAAUGUAACUAGAAAUAGGUUAGUUAUUGUUCAUAGACUAUUGUUCAUACUAUUAAACCUGCUUAUGUUACUAUUGUAUUACAAUAUGUUAUUCUAGAGAUAGGUUGAAAAAUGAAUCGGUGUUCUUUCACUAUCUGCGCAUAGCUACUUUAUUUUGCAAUAUUUUGUUCUUUCUUUUUCCUUUUUUUUUUC